rnacentral:tRNA from 1 species
UGGACUGUGGCUCAGUGGUAGAGCGCUCGCCUCGCACACGCAAGGCCCUGGGUUCGAACCUCAGCACCCCAC